GAGGCGGGCCCCCGGGAAGGCGGGCGCAGCGCGGGAGGCCGCAGGCUUUGCGCGGGAAGCCCAGCCCCGCCGUCAGGCCCCACCAGCCCGGCCAUACAGGCCCGCGCGGGCUCUCCAGCUGUUGCUUCAAGCAAAAUGGUUCCGGAAUCUCCAAGUUCUCUGGGGGCCAGUAGCACUUACAUCUCCAGCCUGAACACAUAACCUGUUUGUUCACAUACCAACCAUCUUUUCCAAUUCAACUUGCUGCUUUAUUUGUUUUCUAAAAGUAAACCAAGCGGGUAACGCCAAGCAGCAAUGCCAAGAAGACAAAACCCUAGAGAGGAUACUUUUUGCAUUAUGGUUCUUAGAGAUGCCAUGGCUGCACAACAUUCACCCACCAAAUACUGCAGAAUGGAACUCUUCCUCCUGUAGAAGUAUGAGUCUGGCCACCAUUCCUGCUGCAAUGUCUGCUGGGCUACCCAGCUGCUGCACCUAAAUUCUGGAGGUAUGUCCAAGAGAAAGGGAGGAACCAGACACCACUGCUGCUUCCCCCAUCUUCAAAUAACACCAGUGCCUGGAACUGUUGUGCUUCUCCCAGGGAGCAGAAGCAUGAUCCUCCUGUGGGUCAGGUUCACAGGCUGGGAGAUUCCGCUCUAGGCAGAAUGUUUUGCUUUGUGCAAUAGUUGAUACGAUUUGAUUUGGUGUCCAGAACUACAAAGUAUCUCCCUUCCUUGCCACGGGGUUCCCUCGUGGUCUUCUGAUGUCUGGGAUGAAUACCACCAUUCCCUAUAAAACUGGUCUUUAAAAUGCUGUACUCAGGGCACCUUGGCUCUGCUUCAAGCUCUGCUGUCAUUAGCUUCUGCUAUGCCUGGCUUGAGUCAUCUAUAAAAGAACUAACAUGGAUGUGAGGGAUGUAGUGAAGGCUGCAGGCACCUGGAGAGUCCUUACUCCUUCUUUACUCUCCUAGUUUCUCAUCUGCCUGUCAGAAUCUGGGCACUGGGCAAAUGAGGCUGCUCUUUCUUGCUCUGAGAACACCAGCAUCUUCACUCUUGCCAGACAUGUCUUGAGAAGAUAAUGAUGCUUUACAGUUUAUAUUACACAUGUGCAGUUCCUUGUCUGUAAAGCAAAAUAUUUGCAAAGAGAGACAUAAGAUUUGGCCCUUAAUUAAUUUAAUUCGUUUCACUUAGUUGCCAGUAGAUGGCUCUCUGAAUUUGCAAUCCCUUAUUUACUACAUUGUUUACUGAAUUAUGUUGGACACGUUUUCAGUGGAAAAUGUUUUCAGAGUGUUUGCUUUGAGGAAGUUUACGUAAGAAGAACAAGGAAGCAAUGGACUGAGUAAAUAGACUGCUAGCAAACAAGGCACAGGAUCAGUUCGCUUUUUGCGAAAUGUUUCAUGGCUACAAUCCAAAAGAUUUUUCUUCUGCAGGACUUAAUCUUAUAAUUAUCAGGCUCAAAGAGUUACGUCUGUGUUUGCAUGACGUGUUUACCAAAUUUGAUUAUAGCCAAGUAAAAUUCACUCUCAAUACAAAAAGCAUUUUGGUUAUGUGUUUUAAAGGAUGCAUGUGGUUUAUGGACCCCAUACCCUGGUGAAUUGAUUGAAAUGCUUCUUCAUUCACACCCCUUCAGUGUGAGACAUGUUGUUUCACGGAUACAUGUGUGUUGAUGGAGCACUGGAUCUAGGCCAUGAACUUCAGAUAGGUGCUUAGCCCAAAUGCAGCUCGCAAAUGUAGGCUGAACUGUUCAUGUGUCACCUUUUUGUUACAUGGUUUAUCAGAGAAGAACAAAAAGUGACUUUCAACAUGGCAGUCCAUGUUGUGAUAAAUUGCUGGGCUUCCUCCCAGCCCCCAAAUCAGCAAGGUUACUAGAAGGGAAAUGAAACAGCUACAGUGGAGACCCAUCCACUUUCACAGCAUCCCUCAACUCCCAAUUUACUAUAUGCUCAGUCUUUGUCUUGGUGGAGUACUACCACAUCCAGGACAGGUGAGGAUCACCCCCCAGCUUCUCAGAGACCACCUACCUGGAGCAGCAGGUACUUAUUGCUGACAGCUGCAUAAAUGGGCUAACUCCUUUUUGGAGGCAGUGAUCUCUUUCAAAGACUGAUGCAUUCUACUGUAUAGAACAAGCUACGUUCCUUCUUUGCUUUCUAAAACAUGAUGAAGAAUUGCAACAUAUUAAGGCAGAGUAACUUCAGAAUGCUCAUAAUGUCGAUAAAGUUCUCAGGUUUAAAUUGGUUACUAGAAAUAUGUAGCCUCUAGCCAAACAUUAAUUUAAAUUAAGCUGAGCUGGAUGGAGGUAUUAAUUGCAGUAUACACAGUCCCUCCACUGAAGGUUGUCUUGAUUUGUCUUCACCCUCAUGCUGAGAUGCCAGUCACCCCUGAGGACAAUACACAGGCACAAACAACUUUAUGAAAAAUAAGCAGCCUAACACUCCAAAUACAUAAUCAAUCGCAUGCAGUUUCACCCUAAUGUAAAAGAAAAUAGUUCUGUUUCCUACUGCAGGUAAAAUUUGCCACACCACAGUUGUUUUUGAAUUGGAGAAGGCUGCUAGUUCUUAAAGAGAUGCCUGGAGAAAUUUUUUUUGUACACUGAAAUUCCAGGUAACAGGUCUGUGUCCAAUUGGUCGCAUUCUCCUCUUUGCAAAGCAUGAGUUUCUUUCUUCAGAUGAAACAUUUCCUUCAGCUAAUUUGCUUUUAAGAUGAGAAAAUGAGACAGAAAAGUUACGUGACUCACAGUGCCUGUCUGUGGCAGCACUCACCUUAGUACUGGGAAUAACGGUGUUGCCACGACAUCGAUCAUGCUGACUUGCCAGUGAUAUGGAGGCAGGAUUUGUUGAUACCGUGAAUUUUAGUGUUUGGCAUUAUUGGAUUUAUAACAGUAAAAGACUGCAUUUCCUGCCCCCCUCCCCCUCCCCAAUUUCCCUUUUUCCUUGACUUCUUUUGAUUAAUGCUCCACGCACUACAGAAUUUAGAGUCAAUCUAUAGAAGCUCUUGGUUCUCUUUACAAGGUCAUGUGUGCAUUUCCACCAACCUCAGUGGUCUCUAACUAUUCAAAGUCAUUGACACCAACUUUGUAGACUUGUGUCAGGCUGUUACUGUAUAAAAAGUAAUGAGGAAUCUCUGUUAUUUUUCUGAAAUGCACUUGUUGAUGUUGCCUCUUAAAUGAAUUGAGGGAUUUUGUUCAUAUUUAUACCAGUUCUAUGGAGAAAGCCUAUUUAUCUGCAAAGCAAUACCCUUCCCUUGAGAGCACAUAAUACAUACCGUAUUUGGUAGAGAUCUAUUGUAUAUCCAUUUUGUAUCUUUGAAUUGAAAAUUAGUUUUUUCAUCUUUGUACAUAGAUGUUCCACAUUAAAAAAACCUAA